UACAUAAACCACCAUCAACCUAGUUUCUAGGUUUUUCUCCAAUCUAUACAAGCUUAAUUUACUCAAUUCUUUCUCUUAAAAGCAAACAAAGCAAAUCCCAGCUAAGAAUAGAUUACUUACCUCAGGUUUGAAGUAUUCCAAGGCUGGGUUUCCACUUCGGCAGCUCCAACACAACCAAAACACCAAGCUGCCACUUCUCCAACAAAUUCCCUCCACUAAUUUGCUUCUACGGUUGAGAGAAAAAGAGAAAGGAGAAAAGAAAUGAAAAGAAGCAUUGGAGAGGGGUGCUGGGUACGUGGACAUUUUCCAGGGGGCUGGGGUUAAAUGAUAAGAACAAACAAUUGCUCUUUAACCCUUCAAUUCAGCAAAAGUGCAUUACAAUCCUGCAGUUUACAUUUCAGUCCCUGCAGUUUCGCAAUUCAGUCCCUGCUGGCAGCAGUAGCUUUGGCAGCCCGUUUCUCACAUCCAGCUCUCUCCGAUUUCAUCCAAACACUUCCAAAACAUGCUAAACUCUAUGCCGAAGCUACUAAUUAAGCUCGGAAGCAAACUAAUUUUAUUUUGGCCUUACUUCAAUCAACUUGAUCAAAAUUAACAAUGUAAUCAAAAUCCGACAUUUUUACAUCCAAGCAUCUCCGGGAUUUGCCAUUAACUAUCCUCGCACUUCCAAAAUAAUCCGGAGGUACUACAAUUAAUAUUCAUACCCCACUUUGAUCGCGUAGGUAAAAGUUAGCGUCAUAAUCCGAAAAUCCCCUUUCAAGUUCAUUUCGCGCUCGAUUUGUGCCCGAAUACUCAAUUACCUCCAAAAAUCAUUCCCACACAUCCAAAAUCACUCGGGAAUGAUACACAUCCAAUUCAAACUUCACUUUGAUCUUCCAGAUGAAAGUUAGCAUCACAAUCCAAAACUUUUCGUAUAUUACAAU
rnacentral:lncRNA from 1 species